UACGUAGGGACCAAGCGUUGUUCGGAUUUACUGGGCGUAAAGGGCGCGUAGGCGGCGUGACAAGUCAGUUGUGAAAUCUCCGAGCUUAACUCGGAACGGUCAACUGAUACUGUUGUGCUAGAGUGCAGAAGGGGCAAUCGGAAUUCUUGGUGUAGCGGUGAAAUGCGUAGAUAUCAAGAGGAACACCUGAGGUGAAGACGGGUUGCUGGGCUGACACUGACGCUGAGGCGCGAAAGCUAGGGGAGCAAAAGGG
rnacentral:rRNA from 1 species